rnacentral:rRNA from 1 species
GGAGACAACCCCCCGAAAUUUUACAUAUCAAUAAACGGGAGGAAAAA